rnacentral:rRNA from 1 species
UACGAAGGGUGCAAACGUUGCUCGGAAUUAUUGGGCGUAAAGCGCACGUAGGCGGCUUGGCAAGUCGGAUGUGAAAUCCCUCGGCUCAACCAAGGAAGUGCAUCCGAAACUGCUGAGCUUGAGUUCUUAAGAGGAUCGCGGAAUUCCCGGUGUAGAGGUGAAAUUCGUAGAUAUCGGGAGGAACACCAGUGGCGAAGGCGGGUUGCUGGGCCGACACUGACGCUGAGGCGCGAAAGCUAGGGGAGCGAACGGG